rnacentral:siRNA from 1 species
GAAUUUGAGACGCUGAAAAUUCCA